UACGUAGGAGGCGAGCGUUGUCCGGAAUUACUGGGUGUAAAGCGCGUGUAGGCGGUGAGUUAAGUCUGUUGUGAAAGCGCCCGGCUCAACCGGGCAGAGUCAAUGGAAACUAGCGCACUGGAGGUCGGUAGAGGCGAGUGGAAUUCCCGGUGUAGUGGUGAAAUGCGUAGAGAUCGGGAGGAACACCAGUGGCGAAGGCGGCUCGCUGGGCCGGACCUGACGCUGAGACGCGAAGGCGUGGGGAGCGAACAGG
rnacentral:rRNA from 1 species